GUAGGAAUGGGUUCUAGAACUGUUCCUCCUCUUACUAUGCCUACUUACUGAUGUUGUGAUACUCAGGUGCAGAGUCAGAGAACAUGUCACAAUAUGAAUAUGUUUUGUGUUGCCUGGCACCAGAGGUAUGUGGGUUGUGGAAGAGAAACUCUGAACUGUAGAGAAUCAGAAUGCUCAGUCAUCAAACCCACAAAACUGUAAGAGGAUUCCUUUAGAAUGACAACUCGUCAAAAUAGAAGUUCCUUUCUAGCAGAAAUUUGCUUAUGGGAAAACUGAGGCCCAGAGAAGCAAAGUGUAUUUCCUAGGGUCACACAGCCUAGGUCUCCAGACUGGAUGUCCUUCUUUCUGCAGGUCUGGAUUUGGGGAUCUGUAGGGAUGCUGUUGGUGCCUUACCUGAUCCCCUGGGAUCCUCUUUGGCAACUGAGUCUGCAUCACCCAGCUGUUGUGUAGGGUGCUGCUAACUGCUCAUACCUCCAACCCUUCUUCAGAGAAUUGCUUUGGAGUGACUGGAGCCACUUUGCCUGCAGGAAACUGAGAGUUUUACAUUCCCUUCCAUGGCAGCCCAUAGUCAGUGACUGGCAUAUGCUGGGGUACAAAAGUCAAGUCUCCUCAUCUCAAGGUGUGCAGUGCCAUUAACACCCCAGGGCUCCUGGUCAGAUCAGGAUGAGGCUAGAUUUUACCUGAAACCACAUCAUUGCCUGACUUCUUCCACUUUUCUAUCUUGUUUCUUCCAUACCAAUAUAGGUUUCUCUUAAGGGCACUCAAUAAAUCACUGGCACCUAAUCCUUGUCCCAGGCUCUGCUUCUAGGGCAUCUGGCCUAACCUAAGACAAGGCUAUUUGUCCUAUGUAUAAUCAGUCAACACAGAUACAGACACACUACCUAUUGUUUUCUUUAUUCUAUUUACUUGCCUUGAUGCCAAUGUGCUCUGUUAUGUCAUUGAUUCAUGCAUUGAUUUUCAAUUUAAACAGCACCCAAAAGUAUAAUGAUACCCUUCCUAAAUGCAUAGUGUGUUUUUCAGCAUCAGAAAAUGUGGGUUUGAGUCCUGGCUUCCCUAUUUUGCUAACUCUACACCCUGGGCAGUUCCAUGGCCUCUUUGAGCCUCCGUUUUCUCAGCUGUGAAAUGGAAGCAAUAGUAAUGUUAUCUCAAGUCAGGCACAUGAAAAGCACUUUGCUUCUGAGAACAGUUAUGAUUCACCAUAAAUAUGGCAGUUAAAGAUGAUAAUUGGGAAGUAUUGAUCUGAAUUUUCAUCAGAUUUCUGAGAUAUGGUUUUACAUGGAUGCUUGGCCCUUUUAAUUUCAUACAUGAAAAAUCUCUCUCCAAUUCAUAAAUUUCACCAAAAAUUUGGGCUCAGGGCCACCUUUAUUCAAGGGUUUCAGGUACAACAUUACCACCAGGUGGUAGUGUGGUUAUAUGUCCUGAGCAAAGCAAUUUGUCCCCCAUCUUCCAAAACUACUACAAAGGUUUUGUGAUAUAUUCCAUUCUAUAUACUCCUACCCUCUGUAAAAGCACAAUAAAGUCAUGCAGAAUUCUCCAAUGCAAGUUGUACACUUGCCAAGAUAUUUUUAAAAAUUCAUUUGCAGGCUGACUAAGCAAAACUGUUUGAACAACUGCAACUAGGCUCUCUUGGAGCAAAACCAAUAAAAAUAUCAACCAGGUGGUAAAUUAUGGAAUGUAUAGAUUGGGAGGAAGUUUCCCUAGAUGAGUUUUGAAGAAGGUUUAUCAUAGGAAGUGGAUGAAACCCAGGAUGUUGUUUCCAUACAAAGGCUGGCAUGUGCCACUUGUCAUACUUAAAAUUCCAUUCCAUGCAGAAUUUGGCCUACAGUAGGUGCUCAACAAAUGUUAAAGAAUCAAUCAGUUCAUCAAUCAAUCAGCCCACACAUGCAUGAAUAAAUGAUUAAGGACUGUAAUGGCAGAAUGUAUUUUAUCUGUAGGAUAAGCAUUAAGAAACUCAUCUGAUGUAGACAUGUGCUUUAGUUUUUGGGGAGAAUGAACUCGAUUGAACAAGCAAUGUAAAUAGGGUUGAGGUGUCAAUUAUCUGUGAACUUCCUUUUUAAGCUGAGAACUUGAAGAAGGAAACUGUUUGGAAAACUCUGCUGUAGCUGUUAGGAACUUCCUGGGCCCUGAACAAAAUCAGUCUUGACUCCACAGUGUGAAAGAAGGGAGGAAAUCUUAAAGCUCUGAUUUUCUUUCCCCCAAGAUACCAAUUUCCCUUGGCCAGUCCUCAUUCUCCAUUCAAUGAUCUAACCUAGGCAGACUUGCAGCCCUCCUUCUAAUUCCCUGUAGCAAAUCUGAGACCAGGACAGGAUGUCAAAUAGCAUCUCCCUAAAGGCUCUGGGAUGGCACAAGGGAAAUAAACUGAGAGGACAUUGAGAAGAAAUAGAUGAUUUGUCCCACUAGCUAAGUUACAUUCCUCUUUGGCUUGAAGUGUCUUUAGGGUGUCUUUCUGCCUAUUUCCUGGCUAUUGAUGAAGCAGAAGCCAACGUUUUCCAACAAGCUGGAGGUAUUCCUGAUGACAUCUAGGCUGCUUGAAGUUGAGAUUCGGGGGAACUGGGCCUAAGGAAAGGAAGGACUUUUCCCUCUUGUGUUUGUGUUAGCUAAAAAUGCAAAUGACUGCAAAUCAUGGAAAACCUAAUGACAGAGGCUUAAAUCACCCACAUAUCAGAAGUCCUUGUGAGUAUGCAGUAGAUUGUUGGCAUUGGCUCAGUAAGCCAAUAGUAUUCUUUUGAGAGCUCCUGGGAUUCUCUUGGGCUCUCCCUCAUGGCCACAAGAUGGUUACUUCCUGCAUUGCCAGAGGGGAAAGAAGAAAAGGGAAAAUGGGAAGGUCCAGGUUAAGGCUGUCUCUUUUUAUCAAAUUAUAUAUAAUGUUUCCAAAAUUCUCCCUUGCCGGCUUUCAUUUCUGUUUCCUGAACAGGACUAGUCCCAUAGCUGCAAGGGAGGCUGACCGUGUUUCGCUUUCUAGCCUCUACAGCGGAUGGUAGCCAGGGAGAAGGGAGGAGGAAUAACUCUUGGGUCUCUAGUCAGUAGUGUUGGCCCAGUUUCUACAGCCUGCUUUCCAAGUUCCUAUUUCUUACCUGGGUACCUGCAUCUUACCUGAUAAUUCACAUCUUGAAUGCCCACAUAUAUGAGAAGACGCCACUCACUUUCUGCCACAAGAAGCACCAUAACAAUCAGACCCAGAUCUGUCCAUGCGAGAGAUACCCAAAGACAACAGCUAACAUCUGCUGAAGACUUACUUGCCAGGCACUGUGCUAGGUAUAUCACAUUGAACUUUUUAAAACCCUAAAAAUAACUUUGAAAUCACUCCAUUUUACAGACGAAGAAACCAAGGCCCAGUUUUGUCGAGGGACUUGUCUGACUAAAAAGAGACAUAUUUUGGAUUUGAACUAAGGCAGUGUCAUGGUCUUAGCCAUGAUCUUAGCUGCUAUAGGCAUGUACUCAGCUGAGUUCAUUCAAGGCUGGCUUCUCUGCUAUCGCAGCAACCAGUGACCAUUUUCCUUCUUAGUCACAGACAUGCCUGGGGUCCCUGCACCCACCCUGCUUUCAGGAUCUGUUGAUGCUAUUCUUCUAGGCCGGCAGUAAAAUGACAUUUAUGAGGAUUUUUCCCUUUGAAGUGGGAG
rnacentral:lncRNA from 1 species